UUAGUAUUCGCGAUGUGCGACUCGGAGCUCUCAGUGCGUGACCACACGGUACCAACCCAUAUUUAUUUACAGUGCACUCGGAAGUCGAAGUCUUUCCUAUGUACACAUGCAGAGAGACGACUGUUACAUCGCGGAAAUGCGCUCAUCGUGCCUCUUCGACAGAGCAUGUGCGUGUGUAGAACGAAUUUUAACAACGAUGUAGCAACGAGGGAAAGUGGAAUUUGGCUGCACGCGCAUGCGAGCGAACAGAUUUCGUGAGGAUGCAAGACGCUAGAGCACUCGACGCAAACGGCAAAUGACGUAAGAUAAGAUAAGGCAAGGUGAAGAGGUUUGGUGAGCCGAGAGAGGCUUCUUAUGGGCAUCCUUAUAAGGUUGCAGCGCCCACGUGCGUACGACUCUCGACGACGGUGCGCUUUCGGACAAGGACUACACACAACGCAGAGAUACGAACUUAUCGCUCGAUAUGUAAAUCAAAGUACAUCGAGAUUAGUCAUCGAUCCUUUUACUCUUUAUAACCAUCUGUCGAUCGGAUAUCAUCGGGAUCGUUUGUGCGGACGAUCGUUGAAACGCACAGGAUGCGUGUCAGCCACUUGUUGCAUCGCAUCUUAAAUGCAGAAUUGCGUCAAUAAGUUAUCCACCUACGUAGGCAUCACGAGACGUAUGUUUUGGAUCGAUCGCGACAGUCAUCUCCAAUCACGUAACCGAUCGAUGAAUCGAGCGUUGUAAAAAAAAAAAAUAAGUUCCGCAGCAAGAAUCAACGAGAUGCAUCUCGUACAAGACGAUUACCAACGGUUUCCGAGAAUGCAUUCUCUUGGAACAACGUGCACGAUAAAUUUAUUUCAUUACAUUCCAGUGGAAUAAAUUUAAUUGCAAAAAGAUAAACUGCACAUAAACAAG